UACAGAGGUCCCGAGCGUUGUUCGGAUUCACUGGGCGUAAAGGGUGCGUAGGCGGUUCUGAAAGUCUGAUGUGAAAUCUCCAGGCCCAACCUGGAACUGCAUUAGAAACUACAGGGCUAGAGGCUUGGAGGGGGAACUGGAAUUCUCGGUGUAGCAGUGAAAUGCGUAGAGAUCGAAGAGGAACACCAGUGGCGAAGGCGAGUCCCUGGACAACACCUGACACUGAGGCACGAAAGCUAGGGGAGCAAACAGG
rnacentral:rRNA from 1 species